rnacentral:lncRNA from 1 species
UAUCCCUAAUCCUAACCUUGUCCAAUACCCUAAACCUAACCUGAAACCUAAACCUAACCCUAUCAUGACUCCUAAUACUAACCCUAAAGCUAAUUCAAGCCCUAAAUUUGAACCUUAAUGUCCCAAACACUAAUUGUGACCCUUACCCUAAUAAUACCCUUAGCUCUAAACCUGACCCUAAUGCUAAACCUAACCCUUACACUAGAUGUAGCCAUAAAACUAAUCCCAAAAUAUUUUAACCAUAAUGCUAGACUUGAUAUUAGCCCUAGCCCUAAUCCUAGCCCUAAACCUAGCCUUAAGCCAAACCCAAAUCAUAACCUGAGCCCUAAGCCUAAUUCUAACCCUCUCUGUAGUCUAAACCUACCUAUAACCCUAUUCCUUACCCUAAACCUAAUGAUAACCCUAAACCUAACCCUAACCCUAGGCCUAAUUAAGCCUAGCGCUAAUCCUAGCCCUAAUUUAGUCCUAUCCGAACACUAACCCAGUGUUAAGACUAACUCUAACUCUUUCCCUAGCCCUAUCCCUAGAUUUAUCCUUAGCCCUAGGCUUAAACCUAACUCUAAAUCUAAACCUAACUCUAAAUUUAACUGUAACCAUAAUCUUAAACCAAAACUAACUCUAGCCCUAACCAUAAGGCUAAUCCUAAAACUUGCCAAACCACUAGCCCUAGCCAUAAAACAAAACCAAGCUAUAGCCCUAACCCUAACCCUUAACAUAAACCAAACCCUAACCCUACACCUAGCCUUAACCCUGACUCUAAAACUAACAGUGACCCUGAUGCUGACUCUAACACUAACCCUAGCUCUAAACAUCACCUUAAAUUAACCCUAACACCAGACUUAUCCUUAACCAUAACCCAAUAGUAGCCCUAAUUGUAACCCUAGUUUGUACAUUAGUCAGCCUUAACCUUAUCACAAAUCCUACCCCUAAUAUGAGCCCUAACUCUAGCUUUAACCCUAAAAUUAAUGCUAACAAUAGCCCUAAUCUUAACCCUAACCCUAGCCCAUAAAACUAGCUCUAACACUUUCCCUUACCCUAAACCAAACCCUAAACCAAAUGCUAAUCCUAGUCCUAACCCUAAUCCUUAGCCUAACCUAAACUCUAACAUAUUACUAUACCUAACCCUAGCCCUCAUUCUAGCUCUACCCCUAACCCUGCCCCUUAUUCUGAUCCUAACACUAUCCCUAGGUCUUAAUCUGACUCUAAUCCUAAACCAAAACCUAACAAUAACCCUACUGGUG